rnacentral:rRNA from 1 species
UACGUAGGGUGCAAGCGUUGUCCGGAAUUAUUGGGCGUAAAGAGCUCGUAGGCGGUCUGUCGCGUCGAAUGUGAAAACCCGGGGCUCAACCCCGGGCCUGCAUUCGAUACGGGCAGACUAGAGUUCGGUAGGGGAGUCUGGAAUUCCUGGUGUAGCGGUGAAGUGCGCAGAUAUCAGGAGGAACACCGGUGGCGAAGGCGGGACUCUGGGCCGAUACUGACGCUGAGGAGCGAAAGCGUGGGGAGCGAACAGG